CACGGGGGGAGCAAGCGUUGUUCGGAAUUACUGGGCGUAAAGCGCACGUAGUCGGCUUUGCAAGUCGGGUGUGAAAUCCCCGGGCUCAACCUGGGAACUGCAUCCGAGACUGCAUUGCUAGAGUAUGGGAGAGGGAUGCAGAAUUCCAGGUGUAGCGGUGAAAUGCGUAGAUAUCUGGAGGAAUACCGGUGGCGAAGGCGGCAUCCUGGACCGAGAUUGACGCUGAUGAGCGAAAGCUAGGGGAGCAAACGGG
rnacentral:rRNA from 1 species